ACGACCUUACUUGAACAGGAUCUGUGUUCUACAGGCUCGUAUCUCUGUAUCCUUGGUUUAUAAGGAGACAGGACCUAAAACCUGGUUGAUGAAUCAUAUGACCGUGCGAUCUGAGUGUGAUUGACGGGGUUAGAGGUUCUUUAGGGUCUCUGUGAUCUUAGAUCUAAGUCUGAUUGACGUAAGUCUGAUUGACGUAAGUCUGAUCGACGAAUCGAGCAAGUUUAGAAUCUCUUCGCUGUCGAUGGUCGCCACCCGGUUAGGUCUUCCUCUCCGGGGUGGGUCGCGCGGUUGUCUGACAGGUU